CAUCCUACUAUAUUAUUUGGGAAG
rnacentral:siRNA from 1 species